GAUGAACGCUAGCGGCAGGCUUAACACAUGCAAGUCGAGGGGUAUAGUUCUUCGGAACUAGAGACCGGCGCACGGGUGCGUAACGCGUAUGCAAUCUACCUUUUACAGAGGGAUAGCCCAGAGAAAUUUGGAUUAAUACCUCAUAGUAUGUGAGAAUCGCAUGGUUUUCACAUUAAAGUUCCAACGGUAAAAGAUGAGCAUGCGUCCCAUUAGCUAGAUGGUAAGGUAACGGCUUACCAUGGCGACGAUGGGUAGGGGUCCUGAGAGGGAGAUCCCCCACACUGGUACUGAGACACGGACCAGACUCCUACGGGAGGCAGCAGUGAGGAAUAUUGGACAAUGGGCGCAAGCCUGAUCCAGCCAUGCCGCGUGCAGGAUGACGGUCCUAUGGAUUGUAAACUGCUUUUGUACAGGAAGAAACACUCCCUCGUGAGGGAGCUUGACGGUACUGUAAGAUAAGGAUCGGCUAAACUCCGUGCCAGCA
rnacentral:rRNA from 1 species